rnacentral:lncRNA from 1 species
GCUUCACGCUAAAGUUGAACCAGAUUCAACUUCUGCGUCAACGUAACGUCAGGACUAGCGUCAUAUUGUAAAUCCGGCUAUAGUCUUUUGAUCCUAAUGUAUGUUGUCUUCAAAAUUUCAGAUACGAUGAGGGUGGGUGGAGCCCACACGCCCAUAAAUAUGGAGAAAAGCACAUUUUAAAAUAGCAAAUCCUCUUAUUUAUGGAGAAGUGCAACAGGGAACGACAUUUCGGAUACGGUGAGAGUGGGUGGAGUCCACACGCCCAUAAAUUAGGACGAAAGCAGUUUUAAAGUGACAAAUCCUCUUAUUUAUGGAGAAUUGCAACAGGGAACGACAUUUCGGAUACGGUGAGAGUGGGUGGAGUCC